rnacentral:tRNA from 1 species
AAUAAGAUGCCUGAUUAAAGGGCUAUCUUGAUAGGAUAGAUCAUGUAGGUUCCCUACUCUUGUUA